rnacentral:rRNA from 1 species
AGCAGCCGCGGUAAUUCCAGCUCCAACAGCGUAUAUUAAAGUUGUUGCAGUUAAAAAGCUCGUAGUUGAAUUUCGAGAUCAAAUUGUUGGUCGUGCCUCGGUACGUACUGGCAUUAUUGAUUUCUCCCUUCUGGAGAACCUUGAUGUCAUUAAUUUGGUGUCUUGGGGAAUCAGGACCGUUACUUUGAAAAAAUUAGAGUGUUUAAGGCAGGCUCACGCUUGAAUACGUUAGCAUGGAAUAAUGAAAUAGGACGUUCGAUCCUAUUUUGUUGGUUUCUAGGAUUGACGUAAUGAUUAAUAGGGAUAGUUGGGGGCAUUAGUAUUCGAUUGUCAGAGGUGAAAUUCUUGGAUUUAUUGAAGACUAACUACUGCGAAAGCAUUUGCCAAGGAUGUUUUCAUUAAUCAAGAACGAAAGUUGGGGGAUCGAAGACGAUCAGAUACCGUCGUAGUCUUAACCAUAAACUAUGCCGACUAGGGAUCGGAUGAUGUUAAUUUUUUAAUGACUCAUUCGGCGCCUUAC